GUUGGGCCAAUGCUACUAUGUUCCAUCUUCCCUAUCUUGCUCCUUCAUUUCCAGAGUCCUGGGCAAGUCCAGAGGGAUUAUAGUUCUUGUUGUAUCAGUUUCACCAUACUCUUUCACCUCAGAGUUCCACCUUCCUAAAGGCAGAAAUUAGGCCAAGUCUGUAGUCCUCCUCUAACAUCCCUUCAGUUGUACAAGAAUUAGACAAAUGCAGUCACUUCUCAUAGGAUGAGCUUGUUCAGGCAAUGCACUGGUGUAAAGGUUUCUCCAGGAAUUUGUUAGGCUAAGAAAAAUGUUGUUGGUACAGAACUGUGUGCAAGCAGAGGCUAACACUCUGAAAACCAGCCCUAAUUUUAAUCUCAUCAACAUGUGAACACAUGGCAUGGUCCUGCUUGCAUCUCAAAAUAUGCAUACAGAGCCUAAAAACCACACAGCUUCAGAGAAGUCAGAGAUAUGUAUACACAGAACCAUGUCAGCAAUGACUCAACCACAGAUGAUAAAAGAAGAUUUUGCAUGGUGGUGUUAGAACAUCUGUUUCUGUGAUUCAAUGGAAAAAGUACUUCAUGAGAAAACAGGGCAAUGGGAGUCAAACAAGUUGUAAUUGCUAGGUUGGUUAAAGUUAAGAGACAUGAAUCUCAACACAAAUUACCUCAGGAAAACUAAGGAAAACAAAGAACAAGAUAAGAGUAAUUACACAGAGUUUUAUAAAAGUUAUGUGUCCAGACUUAUGAAGAAGUACAAACUUCAAUACAGAAAUCAAAUCAUCAUUGCAAUCAGUGUAUUUACCAUCUUCAGGAGUUCUCACAAAAACAUCAUUCUCUUCAGACAAAGCACUU